rnacentral:rRNA from 1 species
UACGUAGGGGGCUAGCGUUGUCCGGAUUCAUUGGGCGUAAAGGGUGCGUAGGCGGCGCGGUAAGUCGGAUGUGAAAUCUCGGAGCUUAACUUCGAAACUGCAUUCGAUACUGCCGUGCUUGAGGACUGGAGAGGAGACUGGAAUUUACGGUGUAGCGGUGAAAUGCGUAGAUAUCGUAAGGAAGACCAGUGGCGAAGGCGGGUCUCUGGACAGUUCCUGACGCUGAGGCACGAAGGUCAGGGGAGCAAACGGG